rnacentral:tRNA from 1 species
GGCAGAAUAGCUCAGUGGUAGAGCGGUACCGUACCUUUUCACCACUUUCCUCGGAUAUGUCCCUUACCAUUAUGAACCUCAAGUGUUACGAGCUUCACUCUAUAUUCUUUGAAAAAUAAUACAUCCAUAUCCGAGGCGCCUGGAAGGGUUACUUCGAAUCUAAUCGACAGGUCGCCGGUUCGAAUCCGGUUUCCGCCG